AACGAACGCUGGCGGCAGGCCUAACACAUGCAAGUCGAGCGGUCCGCAAGGGCAGCGGCAGACGGGUGAGUAACGCGUGGGAAUUUACCCCGAGGUACGGAACAACUCGGCGAAAGCUGAGCUAAUACCGUAUGUGACCGAGAGGUGAAAGAUUUAUCGCCUCGGGAUGAGCCCGCGUAGGAUUAGCUAGUUGGUGGGGUAACGGCCCACCAAGGCGACGAUCCUUAGCUGGUCUGAGAGGAUGAUCAGCCACACUGGGACUGAGACACGGCCCAGACUCCUACGGGAGGCAGCAGUGGGGAAUAUUGGACAAUGGGGGCAACCCUGAUCCAGCCAUGCCGCGUGAGUGAUGAAGGCCUUAGGGUUGUAAAGCUCUUUCGCCCGCGACGAUAAUGACUGUAGCGGGAGAAGAAGCCCCGGCUAACUUCGUGCCAGCAGCCGCCGUAAGAC
rnacentral:rRNA from 1 species